rfam:Magnaporthe oryzae 70-15 chromosome 2, whole genome shotgun sequence.
GGGCGUUUGGUUUAGGGGUAUAAUAUCCGUUUCGCAUUGGAUGAUGCCGAUCAUAAGAUGAGUAACGACUACGGAAGGUCGCCGGUUCGAUUCCGGCAACGUCCA